rnacentral:sRNA from 1 species
AUCCCCAUGUGAAUACUCGCAACUCGCAACCUGUAACCCCCAGCAAAAAACCACAAAGCAACGAGGAGAACAUGAACUCGCAAUUCAACUGCCAACAAGUUUAUAACUUUUUUCGGCACGCUCGGCUGCCGGAUUGAUUCGAUUAAAACGUCAACAGUGGCAGGCAGGCAGUCAGACUGGCAGGCUGGCUGGGGCUGGCUGGCAACUGGAAAUGAAGCUGAAGCUGAAGCUAAGGAAAAACAAUUCACCACACAGACACACGCACGCUCGCUUGGGAGAGGAUACAUAUACGAAGAUAAGUGAAAGUGACUGAGUCCUGUCGCCAACGACGCGUUGUCACUUGGAUAUAUUUUUCACCUACCACACCCACGCUCCAACGCCAACGCCCACGGCAGUGCUGGCCCAGUUUGCUGGCCAUUCGCCAGCCACCCCUGGUGAGUGAUAAAAAUUUAUUGGAUCGAAAACAAUAAAUAUUUGAUUUGAUUCAUUUCGUCGCCGUUGCCGUCGUCGUCGAGCCUGUUGUGAAUGUGGAAUCCUUGUCGGAGUCGUUUGCAGCUCAUGAUUCACUUUCGAUUGAUUUGCUGGCGGUGUCCAUUCGGUUAAUUGAAAUACAAAACUGUUUAUGUGCUCUAAAGUUUUUCCCCAAGUCCAGGCCCCGAAAUUGAUGAUGAGCCAUAAACAAAAAUUACAAAAAAUGAGCUGGACAAAAAGGUUGCGUGCCAUUCGGAGGGUCAAAGUGUAAUUAACUUCGUCGCUAGCCUUCAUUUGCAGCCCAUCAAGGAGAUGAAGGAGCGAAUUAGGAGAACCGAAUACGGAAUGUGGGCUAAGGAUUACAGUAUACGGAAUCCGGUAGAACAAAAGAAACAAAACAAGGGCCGCAAUCCCCAGCAUUUCAACGCCUAUUACAACUGCAAAUGAACCCAUAAACCCAUUUAAGCAAUGCCCGAAACACGGAAAACUUUUCCACCACGACGCCGGCGACGACAAAGGGCAUUUCCCGAAGCAGCGAACAAAUCCAGGGGGCGUAGGUUCCGUCCAGCCUUUCUGAUUAUUGCUCAGCACUUGAAAAGUUUUCUUUGGGCGGCGGCUUACUGCCUGCCAGAACUUUACUUACACCUAAAGCUCCCGCCAGACCUCACCCACCUCACCGAAAACCCUAAAAACCUACAAGGCAAGGCCAGCACUUUGAAUAAGAGAUAAAACUGUUACGUGCCUCGUGUCUGACUGAAUGGAGAAAUAUUUCUCUUAUCGCAGUGAAAAGAUGUUUCGUGCCCUGCGUGUUUACCUUGGACGUAGUUGUUGCUGUUGCCCAUGCUUUUUCCUAUCCCGGUCCUAACCUGGUCCUAACACUGGUCAAAAAAGGACUUUGUAAGAGCCAUUCAUCAAGCAAAUAGCACAGUAUGCAUUCAUCUAUGGAAUUAUUCAAAAGAUCCUUUAAAUGUAUAUUGAAAUGCUACCCAAUAGAUAUUCAUUUCACAACA